rnacentral:misc_RNA from 1 species
GUUGAAGAACGUAGCGAAAUGCGAUACUUGGUGUGAAUUGCAGAAUCCCGUGAACCAUCGAGUCUUUGAACGCAAGUUGCGCCCGAAGCCAUUAGGCCGAGGGCACGCCUGCCUGGGCGUCACACGUCGUUGCCCCCCCAUCUACUCCUUCGGGAUUGCGGGGGGCGGAUGAUGGCCUCCCGUGCGCCUCGUCGCGCGGUUGGCAUAAAUGCCAAGUCCUCGGCGACGCACGCCACGACAAUCGGUGGUUGCGAAACCUCGGUUGCCCGUCGUGUGCGGUCGUCGCGCAUCGAGGGCUCGAAAAAAUUGCCGGGCUCCGGCUCGGCUUUCAACGCGACCCCAGGUCAGGCGGGGUUACCCGCUGAAUUUAAGCAUAUCAAUAAGCGGAGGA